UACGGGGGGGGCAAGCGUUGUUCGGAAUUACUGGGCGUAAAGGGCUCGUAGGCGGCCAACUAAGUCAGACGUGAAAUCCCUCGGCUUAACUGAGGAAGUGCAUCCGAAACUGGCAGGCUAGAGUACUAAAGAGGGUCGCGGAAUUCCCGGUGUAGAGGUGAAAUUCGUAGAUAUCGGGAGGAACACCGGUGGCGAAGGCGGCGACCUGGGUAGAUACUGACGCUGAGGUGCGAAAGCGUGGGGAGCAAACAGG
rnacentral:rRNA from 1 species